GUAGGUGGCAAGCGUUGUCCGGAAUUAUUGGGCGUAUAGCGCACGCAGGCGGUUCUUUAAGUCUGAUGUGAAAGCCCACGGCUCAACCGUGGAGGGUCAUUGGAAACUGGAGAACUUGAGUACAGAAGAGGAAAGCGGAAUUCCACGUGUAGCGGUGAAAUGCGUAGAGAUGUGGAGGAACACCAGUGGCGAAGGCGGCUUUCUGGUCUGUAACUGACGCUGAGGCGCGAAAGCGUGGGGAGCAAACAGGGAUUAGAUACCCUGGUAGUCCACGCCGUAAACGAUGAGUGCUAAGUGUUAGGGGGGUUUCCGCCCCCUUAGUGCUGCAGCUAACGCAUUAAGCACUCCGCCUGGGGAGUACGGCCGCAAGGCUG
rnacentral:rRNA from 1 species